rnacentral:rRNA from 1 species
CAGUAGCUGCGGGAAUACGUAGGGUGCAAGCGUUAAUCGGAAUUACUGGGCGUAAAGCGUGCGCAGGCGGUUAUAUAAGACAGAUGUGAAAUCCCCGGGCUCAACCUGGGAACUGCAUUUGUGACUGUAUAGCUAGAGUACGGCAGAGGGGGAUGGAAUUCCGCGUGUAGCAGUGAAAUGCGUAGAUAUGCGGAGGAACACCGAUGGCGAAGGCAAUCCCCUGGGCCUGUACUGACGCUCAUGCACGAAAGCGUGGGGAGCAAACAGGAUUAGAUACCCCAGUAGUCCCUGUCUCUUAUAC